rnacentral:rRNA from 1 species
GGGNGAAAGCCUGAUCCAGCCAUUCCGCGUGCAGGAUGAAGGCCUUCGGGUUGUAAANNGCUUUUGUNCGGAANGAAANGGUCUGUAUUAAUACCNGGGGNUCAUGACGGUACCGUAAGAAUAAGCACCGGCUAACUACGUGCCAGCAGCCGCGGUAAUACGUAGGGUGCGAGCGUUAAUCGGAAUUACUGGGCGUAAAGCGUGCGCAGGCGGUUUUGUAAGACAGAUGUGAAAUCCCCGGGCUCAACCUGGGAACUGCAUUUGUGACUGCANGGCUAGAGUNCGNCAGAGGGGGAUGGAAUUCCGCGUGUAGCAGUGAAAUGCGUAGAUAUGCGGAGGAACACCGAUGGCGAAGGCAAUCCCCUGGGCNNNCACUGACGCUCAUGCACGAAAGCGUGGGGAGCAAACAGGAUUAGAUACCCUGGUAGUCCACGCCCUAAACGAUGUCAACUGGUUGUUGGGUCUUCACUGNCUCAGUANCG